UUCGGACGGGGGUGAGUAACGCGUGAGGAUCUGCCCUCAGGAGGGGGACAACGACUGGAAACGGUCGCUAAUACCCCAUAUGCCGAGAGGUGAAACGUUUUUCGCCUGAGGAUGAGCUCGCGUCAGAUUAGCUAGUUGGUGGGGUAACGGCCUACCAAGGCGACGAUCUGUAGCUGGUCUGAGAGGAUGAUCAGCCACACUGGGACUGAGACACGGCCCAGACUCCUACGGGAGGCAGCAGUGGGGAAUUUUCCGCAAUGGGCGAAAGCCUGACGGAGCAAGACCGCGUGAGGGAUGACGGCCUAAUGGUUGUAAACCUCUUUUCUCUGGGAAGAUAAUGACGGUACCAGAGGAAUAAGCCUCGGCUAACUCCGUGCCAGCACCGCGGUAAUACGGAGGAGGCAAGCGUUAUCCGGAAUUAUUGGGCGUAAAGCGUCCGUAGGUGGUUAAUCAAGUCAGCUGUUAAAGAGCGGAGCUUAACUCCGUUAGAGCGGUUGAAACUGAUUGACUAGAGUUUGGUAGGGGUCGAGGGAAUUCCCAGUGUAGCGGUGAAAUGCGUAGAUAUUGGGAAGAACACCGGUGGCGAAAGCGCUCGACUGGGCCUGAACUGACACUGAGGGACGAAAGCUAGGGAGCGAAAGGGAUUAGAUACCCCUGGUAGUCACGCGUUACUCACCCG
rnacentral:rRNA from 1 species